UACGAAGGGGGCUAGCGUUGUUCGGAAUUACUGGGCGUAAAGCGCGCGUAGGUGGCCAUUUAAGUCCGCUGUGAAAGUCAAAGGCUCAACCUUUGAAAGCCGGUGGAUACUGGGUGGCUAGAGUACGGAAGAGGCGAGUGGAAUUCCUGGUGUAGCGGUGGAAUGCGUAGAGAUUAGGAAGAACACCAGUGGCGAAGGCGGCACUCUGGGCCGGAACUGACGCUGAGGAGCGAAAGCGGUGGGAGAAACAGG
rnacentral:rRNA from 1 species